rnacentral:rRNA from 1 species
AUUGAACGCUGGCGGCAUGCCUUACACAUGCAAGUCGAACGGUAACGGGCCUUCGGGUGCCGACGAGUGGCGAACGGGUGAGUAAUACAUCGGAACGUGCCCGAUCGUGGGGGAUAACGAGGCGAAAGCUUUGCUAAUACCGCAUACGAUCUACGCAUGAAAGCAGGGGACCGCAAGGCCUUGCGCGGACGGAGCGGCCGAUGGCAGAUUAGGUAGUGGGUGGGAUAAAAGCUUACCAAGCCGACGAUCUGUAGCUGGUCUGAGAGGAUGAUCAGCCACACUGGGACGGAGACACGGCCCAGACUCCUACGGGAGGCAGCAGUGGGGAAUUUUGGACAAUGGGCGCAAGCCUGAUCCAGCAAUGCCGCGUGCAGGAUGAAGGCCUUCGGGUUGUAAACUGCUUUUGUACGGAACGAAAAGCCUUCUUUUAAUACAGGAGGGUCAUGACGGUACCGUAAGAAUAAGCACCGGCUAACUACGUG